rnacentral:rRNA from 1 species
GACGAACGCUGGCGGCGUGCCUAAUACAUGCAAGUCGAACGCACAGUUUAUACCGUAGCUUGCUACACCAUAGACUGUGAGUUGCGAACGGGUGAGUAACGCGUAGGUAACCUGCCUGGUAGCGGGGGAUAACUAUUGGAAACGAUAGCUAAUACCGCAUAAUAUUAAUUAUUGCAUGAUAAUUAAUUGAAAGGUGCAAUUGCACCACUACCAGAUGGACCUGCGUUGUAUUAGCUAGUAGGUGAGGUAACGGCUCACCUAGGCGACGAUACAUAGCCGACCUGAGAGGGUGAUCGGCCACACUGGGACUGAGACACGGCCCAGACUCCUACGGGAGGCAGCAGUAGGGAAUCUUCGGCAAUGGACGAAAGUCUGACCGAGCAACGCCGCGUGAGUGAAGAAGGUUUUCGGGUCGUAAAGCUCUGUUGUAAGAGAAGAACGGGUGUGAGAGUGGAAAGUUCACACUGUGACGGUAUCUUACCAGAAAGGGACGGCUAACUACGUG